rnacentral:lncRNA from 1 species
CUCAAUCAUACAUAGUACAAAUUCUAAUUACUCACUUCUAAAAUCAAUAAAAUUUACAGCUCAAUCAUACAUAGUACAAAUUCUAAUUACUAACUUCUAAAAUCAAUAAAACAAGUGUACAUGUUUUGAAAUAUCACAGUCAUCUUCCAUCAUCCAAGGCAAUCGAUGGUUGAUCGUUCAAGCUAUCAUACCCACUAUAUCUAAGGUCAAUGCUAUCACCAAUUUCAAAUGCUAUCGCUAAUUUCACUAUAAAUACUAUAAGAUGCCUCUUUAAGUAAGUGUUGCCUCCCUUUUUGAUCGGGCCUAACACAACCCAACAAAACCGUUUUGUGAGGUGAGGAUUGCCCCCAGUUAUAUACACAUGUUCAGACCAUCUUUUGUCCGAUGUGGGACUCGUGAACACACCCCUCACGACUAGCACUAUUGAGCUUGGUUCGUGGACAUAAAUUGGGAUUGGUUUGUGAAGAUAAAUGGUGGGUGGACCGAUAGCUGAAACCUGAUGCUUGGUUCGUGGACAUAAAUGGUGGGUGACCCGAUAGCGGUAACCUUAUUGCAGUUGGUCCAAUGGAUCUUGGAGAAGGCUCUGAUACCAUCUUAGAAAUUAUGGUUGAGCGUAGCACAACUCCACAAAACCGGCUUGUGAGGAGAGGAUUGACCCCGCUUAUAAACAGUUGUUCAGGCCCCUUAAAUAAUGUCACAACCAACUGUUACAAACUUGUUUUGCUUGCUUGAUAUGGUGAAAGCAUGAGUGUUUAAACGGGGUCGAAUGUAGUUUGUGCGAUUACAAUAACCGGAGACUAAGAACAACGAUUCAAGUUGUCCUUCAAGGAUGUUUAUGUUAGAAACUUGUAAAUUGCCAAAUAUUAAUUUGGUGUCGUUUACACAUCUGAGAUUAAAUUUGCGCUCUAGGGAACAUGGUCCUUGAUUUGGUAUUUGAUGAAUUCGAUAUUCCAAAUGUAUAUGGAAUUUUUACAUUUCCACAUGUGUUUUUGCACCCUCGUUC